ensembl:lncRNA LINC00607 long intergenic non-protein coding RNA 607
AAAUGUGGAGAACACUCAGGGGGAGGUGGAAGAGAGAAAGCAGUGAACAGAUUCAUCUUCCCUUCUAUAUCUGAAAGGAUAAGCAGGCUGUGCUUUCCAGAAAUGCGUGACCUAUCCAAUCCUUCCUCUCAUGGAAACACCAACUCAUCCAUGCCCUCUGUGCUGAAACUUCGUCUCAGCCUGCUGGAAUCACCUGCACCCCAUGGGAACUGUAGCCAUAUCUUCAGUCCUGUGAGCCCCCGUCAUGGCCUGUCACAGGAGUAAAUGAGGAGUAAGGCCCAGAAUACUCAGUACCUCUCAAUGACCCUCAGACGCUGUAGGAAGAGGAUUGGUUCACCUUUUAACCCAGAAUUUCUCACAUUGAAUGGACAGGAUGCAUUCCAAGAGGCCAGAGUAUGUGCAUCUCAGCUCCUGAUGGUUUCCACCACCACCAUUACUUUCUCUAUGUCAAGAUACCUGGGAAGCCGGUGUUUCAUUUGCAUUCUUGGAGCCCAGGAACUGUCUUCUACAAACUUUUCUUCCUAGUACCAUGUAAACGUACACAGGAAACGUUCAGAAAACAUCAGCCAAAUAGAAGAAUAAGGAAAUUCCUUCACUGACUAGAUAUUGGUGUUUGAUUCUGUCCUGCUUUGUACUCAAUGGCUAUUUCGGGGUUUCCAUUGCGGAAAACUAUUUGGAAAAUUGCAAGCCACGAGACAAGCCUCUAAGCUACUCCAGGAUCAUUGAGGACUCUCCAUGGGUUCUUAUUGUUAAAGAUCUUAACUCCUCAAGCCACUGCAUUUUUACUAUAUGCCUUGAACUACAAGAUGUGUUAAGAUUUAUAGGAUAAGGUUCUCAUCUCUAAAAACUCAUGGUCUCGAUGGAGAAGCAGUAUUUACACACAUGGAGAAGUUGAGAGUACUUGAAUGUGGAGUAUAAAGUGUGCGAUAUUGACAAGAAGCUCUACGAAAGUUCAGGAAGAGGAGGAGCAAGUGAGGAUGGAGAUGGACUUUGCAGAAUGGAGGAGAGGCAAAGAAACGGUUAGAAACAAUCUACAUAAUGAAAAGUCACUUUUGGGAGUUGUUUUAAGGCAGAGUAUCAUAUCGCAUCAAAACCGCUCCAUAAGUCCUGCCACUCCACGUGCAAUGCCAUGAACUUGAAGAAACUGCUGGUAAGAGAAAGCAAAUGCUGUGACCAGGCAAGUAAGUGUUGUCAAAGUGUUGUAAAACUACCCUGAACUUUUGGAUCCAGAGUACUUUCCUUCCUUCCCCCUCCCUCGUCCUCUCUUUUCUUUGAGUAUAAGUGGCCACAGCAACACAUUUCCAAAGCUUAAACUUAGAACUUUUAUCUGGGAAGUUUGUUUGGACAGUAUUCAAAUAUAAGUGAUAAAAAUAUACAAAGGCUGGCCAGGUGCGGUGGCUCACACCUGUAAUCCCAGCACUUGGGAGGCCGAGGCAGGCAGAUCAUGAGGUCAGGAGUUCGAGACGAGCCUGGCCAAUAUGGUAAAACCCCGUCUCUACUAAAAAUACAAAAAAAUUAGCCCGGCAUGGUGGCAGGCACCUGUAAUCCCAGCUACUCGGGAGGCUGAGGCAGGAGCAUCAGUCAAACCUAGGAGGCGGAGGUUGCAGUGAGCCGAGAUUGCAACACUGCACUCUAGCCUGGGUGACAGAGCAAGACUGCAUCUCAAAAAAAAAAGAAAAAAAAAAAGAAUAUACAAA